AUUUUUGGGAGUUUUUUUUUAAGAAAAAAAAGGGGGGGGGGGGAAAAAAACCCCCCCCCCCCCUUUUAAAAAAAAACAAGG
rnacentral:miRNA from 1 species